UGGCGGACGGGUGAGUAAUGUCUGGGAAACUGCCUGAUGGAGGGGGAUAACUACUGGAAACGGUAGCUAAUACCGCAUAACGUCGCAAGACCAAAGAGGGGGGCCUUAGGGCCUCUUGCCAUCGGAUGUGCCCAGAUGGGAUUAGCUAGUAGGUGGGGUAACGGCUCACCUAGGCGACGAUCCCUAGCUGGUCUGAGAGGAUGACCAGCCACACUGGAACUGAGACACGGUCCAG
rnacentral:rRNA from 1 species